AGAGUUUGAUCAUGGCUCAGAACGAACGCUGGCGGCGUGGCUAAGACAUGCAAGUCAAACGGACUAUUAAUUUAUUAAUAGUUAGUGGCGUAAGGGUUAGUAAUGGAUAGGUAACGUACCCUGAGCUUCGGAAUAGCGUCUCCUGUAUCCUUGUGGUACAGGAUUCCGAAAGGGGCGGUAAUACCGAAUAAUAUCAUGUAUCAUAUGUUAUAUGAUCAAAGAUUUAUCGGCUUGGGAGCGGCCUAUCUCCUAUCAGCUUGUUGGUGAGGUAAUGGCUCACCAAGGCUAUGACGGGUAGCGGGACUGAGAGGUUGGCCCGCAACAUCGGGACUGAGACACUGCCCGGACCUCCACGGAGGGCUGCAGUAACGAAUAUUGCGCAAUGGGCGAAAGCCUGACGCAGCGACGCCGCGUGUAGGAUGAAGUCUUUCGGGAUGUAAACUACUGUCAGGGGUAAGAAAGUGCGCUUCGGCGUAUUGAUCUAACCCAGAGGAAGUCACGGCUAACUUCGUGCCAGCAGCCGCGGUAAGACGAAGGUGGCGAGCGUUGUUCGGUGUUACUGGGCUUAAAGCGUGUGUAGGCGGAAGAGUAAGCGUUUUGUGAAAGCCCCCGGCUUAACCGGGGAAUUGCUGGACGAACUACCUUUCUUGAGGCAAGUAGGGGUGCAUGGAACUCUUGGUGGAGCGGUGGAAUGCGUAGAUAUCAAGAGGAACGCCAGUGGUGAAAACGGUGCACUGGGCUUGUCCUGACGCUGAGACACGAAAGCGUGGGGAGCGAACGGGAUUAGAUACCCCGGUAGUCCACGCUGUAAACGAUGUCUACUA
rnacentral:rRNA from 1 species